AAGGUGUUAUUGGAGGGAAGGAGCU
rnacentral:piRNA from 1 species